GGGGGUAACGGGGGAAACUGGGGAAGUGGGGAACCGAGGGGCAACCAGGGGAAGAUGGGGUGCUGGAGGAGAGCUUGUGGGAGCCAAGGAGCACCUUGGACAUCUGGAGUCUGGCAGGAUUGCAGCAGGACGUCACCAGGAGGGCGAAGCGGCCACGGGAGGGGGGCCCCGGGACAUUGCGCAGCAAGGAGGCUGCAGGGGCUCGGCCUGCGGGCGCCGGUCCCACGAGGCACUGCGGCCCAGGGUCUGGUGCGGAGAGGGCCCACAGUGGACUUGGUGACGCUGUAUGCCCUCACCGCUCAGCCCCUGGGGCUGGCUUGGCAGACAGUACAGCAUCCAGGGGAGUCAAGGGCAUGGGGCGAGACCAGACUAGGCGAGGCGGGCGGGGCGGAGUGAAUGAGCUCUCAGGAGGGAGGAUGGUGCAGGCAGGGGUGAGGAGCGCAGCGGGCGGCGAGCGGGAGGCACUGGCCUCCAGAGCCCGUGGCCAAGGCGGGCCUCGCGGGCGGCGACGGAGCCGGGAUCGGUGCCUCAGCGUUCGGGCUGGAGACGAGGCCAGGUCUCCAGCUGGGGUGGACGUGCCCACCAGCUGCCGAAGGCCAAGACGCCAGGUCCGGUGGACGUGACAAGCAGGACAUGACAUGGUCCGGUGUGACGGCGAGGACAGAGGAGGCGCGUCCGGCCUUCCUGAACACCUUAGGCUGGUGGGGCUGCGGCAAGAAGCGGGUCUGUUUCUUUACUUCCUCCACGGAGUCGGCACACUAUGGCUGCCCUCUGGGCUCCCAGAACCCACAACAUGAAAGAAAUGGUGCUACCCAGCUCAAGCCUGGGCCUUUGAAUCCGGACACAAAACCCUCUAGCUUGGAAAUGAAUAUGCUGCACUUUACAACCACUGCACUACCUGACUCAGGAAUCGGCUCUGGAAGGUGAAGCUAGAGGAACCAGACCUCAUCAGCCCAACAUCAAAGACACCAUCGGAACAGCAGCGCCCGCAGCACCCACCCCGCACCGGCGACUCCAUCUUCAUGGCCACCCCCUGCGGCGGACGGUUGACCACCAGCCACCACAUCAUCCCAGAGCUGAGCUCCUCCAGCGGGAUGACGCCGUCCCCACCACCUCCCUCUUCUUCUUUUUCAUCCUUCUGUCUCUUUGUUUCUGAGCUUUCCUGUCUUUCCUUUUUUCUGAGAGAUUCAAAGCCUCCACGACUCUGUUUCCCCCGUCCCUUCUGAAUUUAAUUUGCACUAAGUCAUUUGCACUGGUUGGAGUUGUGGAGACGGCCUUGAGUCUCAGUACGAGUGUGCGUGAGUGUGAGCCACCUUGGCAAGUGCCUGUGCAGGGCCCGGCCGCCCUCCAUCUGGGCCGGGUGACUGGGCGCCGGCUGUGUGCCCGAGGCCUCACCCUGCCCUCGCCUAGUCUGGAAGCUCCGACCGACAUCACGGAGCAGCCUUCAAGCAUUCCAUUACGCCCCAUCUCGCUCUGUGCCC
rnacentral:lncRNA from 1 species